rnacentral:rRNA from 1 species
AGUGAACGCUGGCGGUAGGCCUAACACAUGCAAGUCGAACGGCAGCACAGUAAGAGCUUGCUCUUACGGGUGGCGAGUGGCGGACGGGUGAGGAAUACAUCGGAAUCUACUUUUUCGUGGGGGAUAACGUAGGGAAACUUACGCUAAUACCGCAUACGACCUACGGGUGAAAGCAGGGGAUCUUCGGACCUUGCGCGAUUGAAUGAGCCGAUGUCGGAUUAGCUAGUUGGCGGGGUAAAGGCCCACCAAGGCGACGAUCCGUAGCUGGUCUGAGAGGAUGGUAGGCGACACGGAAGCUGAGACACGGCCCAGCCCCCGACGGAAGGCACAGGUGGGGAAUAUUGGAAAAGGGGGGCAAGCCUGAUCAAGCCAUACCGGGGGGGUGAAGAAGGCCUUCGGGUGGUAAAGCCCUUUUGUGGGGAAAAAAAGGCAGCGGGUUAAUACCCCGCUGUUCGAAGGUAACCAAAAGAAUAGGCACGGGUAAAUUUGGG